UACGAAGGGGGCUAGCGUUGCUCGGAAUGACUGGGCGUAAAGGGCGCGUAGGCGGAUUGUACAGUCAGGCGUGAAAUUCCCGGGCUCAACCUGGGGGCUGCGCUUGAGACGUGCGAUCUUGAGUGGGGAAGAGGGUCGUGGAAUUCCCAGUGUAGAGGUGAAAUUCGUAGAUAUUGGGAAGAACACCGGUGGCGAAGGCGGCGACCUGGUCCUUGACUGACGCUGAGGCGCGAAAGCGUGGGGAGCAAACAGGAUUAGAUACCCUGGUAGUCCACGCUGUAAACGAUGUGCGCUGGAUGUUGGGGAGCCUAGCUCUUCAGUGUCGUAGCCAACGCGAUAAGCGCACCGCCUGGGGAGUACGGCCGCAAGGUUGAA
rnacentral:rRNA from 1 species